GCCACGAGAAAAUCUAGCUUGUUUGCUGGUAGUGUUUGGUGGUCGACUGGAUAUGGCUCUACUACUAGCCAGCUCGUUACUAACAAAACUACCAGUUCGGGAAUACCUUUUGGAAAAUUGGCUUAGGGGUGUGAGUAGGCUGGUGCUGACAGAACUGUGAAGGUGAAAGGCACAAUGUGAUCCGCUCGAGAGAUGCACAAAGAAGCGACACGCUCUUCCUUCCCGAAGUCCUCCGCACAGACGUGAAGCCGGCCACGCACGGUAAUGAGACGGAAGAUUCAUCGCCGCUGACAUUCCCGGCUAAGAGACAGCCGUGUCUGUGGGAGCUGCGUGGAUUAGGGUCGCCCCACCUGAGGGUCGCCCCACCUGAGCGAGCCACCUGUCCCCGGGCACCUGCAGACAUGGGCACAGAAGAGAGAGAGAGGAGGCGGUGAGGACGGGGGCCUCUCUCGCCCGCAGGUGUCCCUACCUGCCCCGCCUGACUGACCUGCCUCGUCCCAUUCAUCCUGCCUAUUAAUCUCAGACGGAGGGCCAGAAGACCAGGUUAAUGUUCUGAGUCAACAGCAGCGAGACUUCCCCCCGCCAAGCUUAUCAAAGGUUCGACUGUCCCCAGCCUUCUCACCGCAGCCAAACGCUCCUGUUUGGGGAGCGGAGGGCAGCGGGACAAAAAACCUAAUCUACACCUGACUGCGGAAGAUAAGACAGGCGGCCAUUUUCUCUGGAGAAACGUCCAUUCUAGCAGAGUUUAGUCUUCACGCGAUGCCUAAUUACUGAUAUGCGGUUUGACGGGCGUCCUCUCGUUGUCAUCGUUUCCUUGGGUCCUGUGCCGUAGGCUAAUUAUAAAAUGAAAGCGCAUGAAUACGA